UGCGCAGGCGGUUAUGUAAGUCAGAUGUGAAAUCCCCGGGCUUAACCUGGGAAUGGCAUUUGAGACUGCAUGGCUAGAGUGUGUCAGAGGGGGGUAGAAUUCCACGUGUAGCAGUGAAAUGCGUAGAGAUGUGGAGGAAUACCGAUGGCGAAGGCAGCCCCCUGGGAUAACACUGACGCUCAUGCACGAAAGCGUGGGAGCAAACAGGAUUAGAUACCCUGGUAGUCCACGCCCUAAACGAUGUCUACUAGUUGUCGGGACUUAAUUGUCUUGGUAACGCAGCUAACGCGUGAAGUAGACCGCCUGGGGAGUACGGUCGCAAGAUUAAAA
rnacentral:rRNA from 1 species